rnacentral:rRNA from 1 species
CCAAUAGCGUAUAUUAAAGUUGUUGCGGUAAAAAAGCUCGUAGUUGGAUUUCUGUCGAACUGAUCGGGUCGCCUUUAUGAGGUUGUAUCUCGCUUCGGUUUGGCAUCCUCGUAGGGAACGUUGCUGCGCUUCACUGCGUGGUGCGGUAUCUACGACUUUUACUUUGAGGAAAUUAGAGUGUUCACGGCAGGCAAUCGCCUUGAAUAUAUUAGCAUGGAAUAAUAACAUAGGAUCUUUGUCCUAUUUUGUUGGUUUCUAGGGCUGAGAUAAUGAUUAAUAGGGAUAAUUGGGGGCAUCUGUAUCAACGCGUCAGAGGUGGAAUUCUUGGAUUGCGUUGCGACAAACUACUGCGAAAGCAUUUGCCAAGGAUGUUUUCAUUGA